rnacentral:snRNA from 1 species
AUGCUUGCCUGGCAUGGGAGAUACCAUGAUCAUGAAGGUGGCUUUCCCGAGAAGAGACUUAUCCAUUACACUCCAGAUGUGCUGACCCCUGCAGUUCCCCAAAGAUGGGAAACGUGACUGCAUAAUUUGUGGUAGUGGGGGACUGUGUUCAUACUCUCCCAUG